GACCUCGGAUCAGGUAGGACUACCCGCUGAACUUAAGCAUAUCAAUA
rnacentral:rRNA from 5 species